AACUUUCAACAACGGAUCUCUUGGUUCUGGCAUCGAUGAAGAACGCAGCGAAAUGCGAUAAGUAAUGUGAAUUGCAGAAUUCAGUGAAUCAUCGAAUCUUUGAACGCACAUUGCGCCCUUUGGUAUUCCGAAGGGCAUGCCUGUUCGAGCGUCAUUUCACCACUCAAGCCUGGCUUGGUAUUGGG
rnacentral:rRNA from 1 species